rnacentral:rRNA from 1 species
UACGUAGGUCCCGAGCGUUGUCCGGAUUUAUUGGGCGUAAAGCGAGCGCAGGUGGUUUAUUAAGUCAGUUGUGAAAGUUUGCGGCUCAACCGUAAAAUUGCAGUUGAUACUGGCAUCCUUGAGUACAGUAGAGGUAGGCGGAAUUCGUGGUGUAGCGGUGAAAUGCUUAGAUAUCACGAAGAACUCCGAUUGCGAAGGCAGCCUGCUGGACUGUAACUGACGUUGAUGCUCGAAAGUGUGGGUAUCAAACAGG